UGUGGUGGGCGGCGAGCUGAAUCCGCUGUUCCUUUUGGCUUGCAGGUGGCCAUCAAAAAGGUGCCACGGAACCGCGUCCGGCACUGGGGCGAGCUGCCCGACGGCACCAGCGCACCCCUGGAGAUAGUGCUGCUGGACAAGGUGUCCACAGGCUUCCCCGGUGUGGUGCAGCUGCUGGAGUGGUUUGAGCUCCCCAACACCAUCGUGAUGGUGCUGGAGCGCCUGGAGUGGUGUCAGGACCUGUGGCAUUUCAUUGGAGCAUGGAGGUUCCUGUCCGAGGCAUCUGAAAUCCCUGCAGUCACUGCCCCUGAGGCCAGACCACAAUCCGUGACCAGGAGACUCCUGUCCUUGUGGAAGGAGCCCUCAAGAGCCGAGUGCAAGACUUGCUGUCCUGUAGUCUUGCCAGGACUUGAGUCUUGCAGGUGCUUUCCAGGCAUGACUGCAGGACUUGCUGCCUUGGUUCUUCUCCCAGGCAUCUCUCCUGCAGGUAGCCAGAAAUCCAGGCACUGCCAUGGAGCGGUGACCCCCGAGAGUGCCCAAGUUGGCCUGAGUUGAAGAGGACGAGGAGGAGGAAGAAGGCCCUCAAACGGCCCCAGCACAGGAGACUGAAGAGGUGCAGCCGUUCCAGCCACUGCAGGAGGAUGCAGCCAUGGACGGCACACAAGAGCAGGACACCGCCCGUGGCCGCUUCCACAGAGCAGCGCAGUUUCUUUACCAAUUCAUCACGAGAACUGGCAAGGAAGACACCAGACCCAUGGACACUGAGGUCAAGGCAUCCUCAGAGGUCUUGGCAGAACAGAGCAGCGCUGCCCAGCUGGAUAUGCUUGUAGAGACAGCUCUUUUCAGUCCAGAGCAAGUAAGCAGCCUGUGGCCAGCCUUUGAUCCUCCAGCAAUUGCUUGGCUUUCCCAA